UGUGAGAGAGACCUUCCUAGUGUCCA
rnacentral:piRNA from 1 species